AUCUUUCAGUUCAUGAGCAUAAUGAUUAGGUGUUUAUGCUGUGCGCAUGAGAUGUGGCUCCCUCAAACCUUGAUAUGAUGUCAGUGUAUUACCCAUCUGACA
ensembl:snoRNA